UAAUGAUGCUUUAUUUGAUUGACAUCACAUCAUCAUAAAUGGCAUCUAAUUUCAGAAAACAAAGUUCAAGUCCGCAAAAAAUGCAUGUACAAAUCUAAGGAGAUAGGUCUACAGAAAUAGACACGUGGCUCUGUGGUCCGUAAGGUGCAGUCAGGAACCUCACAUCCUAGGGUCUGUCUGGGUUCAAUGUUCCAGUGGCGUGAGACAACCAAGGAAACAGACACCCCAAAGAGCCGAUGUUAUUUUUGAAUAUAUAUAUAUGUAUAUACAUGUACAUAUGUAAAUAUGUUGCCUUCAUCUGUAACAGUGCAAACCUCUCACAGCGUGCAAAGCAACAGUGUUUCCUACAGUCAAGUAACUAAAUCAGUGAAAAGUUAUCCACACAGCAUUAUAAAAACAUUAUAUAAUUACAUAGCAGAUAUAUAUGCACGCCUUUGCACGCUGAUUAGAGUUACUUGCAUUGACUUUUGCUUUAGAAGAAAUAAAAAAGGAAAAUCUUUAAAUAGUUCUUCAUCAAAUAAAAGGUAACAAUUUGUAACAGAUUCAACUAUGAACAGGUAUUGCAUCAAUAUGUCUACAAUAGAAAAACAUAAAUAUAUAAAAACAAAGGCAAAGGGGUCAGCUACACAUAUUAACUUACCAAACAUACAUGUUCUAUUGAAAAACUGAUCCCCAUUCACACCCUCCAGGUGGGAGGAUAAGACUAUAAAAAUGGGAAGCCAGCGUGUGGGUGUGGUGUUCUAUUUUAUUAGCAAUUUGGAUGAUAGGAUGUUUUGCUACUGUUUUCAGUUGGCCAAUGACAUAAUAGUGAGAUACUGAUUAUUAAGCUUGGGAAGCUGGUAGGUCAUGGAAAAGAGACCCCAAGAUGCAUAAUGACAGACAUGUAAAAAUGCAAACGUGUAAAAAUGAAAUCACUGCCGUGGUUACUACUAUAUUUUCAGACAAACCAAAUUGUGGUACCAUUCAGAUUAGACGGCGUUCAGGGAUCUCCAGGAGUCCACGGAUAUGGGGUUGUCAACCCUAAACCCACGUACUUCAUAAUUUCCUAACCUUCCCCUUCAAGGCCAGAUGCAUUUCAACCUGCCAGAAGGGGCACAUUAGGGCCCCCUAAGAGGCACGAUUGUUUGAGUAACUUCCCCAGAAACGGACAUGUCUGCUGCUGCCUCAGCUGCAGCACUCUCAUUGGGCAAGCUGUUUUCUAGAGGCUCAUAGGCAGGUGCGGUGAGCAGUGAAGAGUCAAAUUAAUUCUGAGCGCCGGCACUCAGAGCUUCAGAAGCCUCCUUAAAGGGAGAUUUGUCUGGGGGACUAGAGGACUGGCCCCCACACAGGUCACCAGGGAGGGUCCUGCCUCACUGCUCGGGGGCUCACCAGCCAGGCCUCAGCAUCUCUGCCCCACUCACCGGCCCUCAUGGUAAUGGACCACAUGGGUCAGAGGUGACAGCAGGUGGCUUACACAUUUCCAGAGAUCUGAUCUCGUAACCUCAGGGACCAUAAAAUAAAAAACAUUUCUUACUGUGUGCAGUAUCAGGGCCACGUUUAAAGUCAUGUGCAAAGUUUAGGCCAAAGGCACUCAAAGUGAUCAGCCAGAUUCUCUCGUAUGUUUGUUCAGUGCAGACACACAGACGAUGGUGGCGCGCUAUUGAGAGAAAACAGCUGAAAGUAAAGUAAUAAUUUUGAGUUUUGCUACUUUUUGGUUAUGUGGCUUGAGCUCAUGCCUUUCCCAAGAUCUCGGGGGCUAGAAGACUGUCCCCAGAACCAUGAACCCCAGUGAAACAAAUACAUAUAUGCCCGUGGCUGUGUCCUCAACCUGGACCUGAAAGGCAAGUGGCCAUGGGGGUGGCUUUCUGGAAAAGGGGAGGGGCUUGGGCAAGCUUAGCCCACAGCUGCAGAGAAAACCCUCAGGGCGGGCUCUGCCAGCGGGUCCAGCACGCCCUCAAAAUGCAGCGCCCUCGUCCAGCCGGCAGCCCCUGCCUGUGUUUGCGAAGAAUCAAGGUGCUUUUGUGCUUCUGUUCCUUUCUCUUCAGCUUUACAACGGCCAUUCUACAUGGAAAAGCCCCCAAACGGUGCCUCUAUAAACAGUAAACCCUUGCCAGGCUGGAAUGUGGUAGCCAGUGGCAUGGACCGUUUUCUCCUUUUGAUGCCAGGAGAGUAUUUCUGAGAACAGGGAAGCCUCAGGGUCCUAACCCCAGCCUCUGCUCACAUGUGUGUCAUUCACAUAAACCCCAGGCAAAGCAGGGUUCCUGGGUGGGCCUCAGGCACACUGGGGCAGGCCACACGUGUCUGUGUGAGGGGUGAUUCCAGGUUGGCCUGUUCAGAGAUAACAUAAAAAAACUAGGCUAAGGCUAAACCCUUCUGUUUCCUCAAAUAUGGAAAAAAGAAACGGGCAGGAUGUAGGAUAGCUAUUAGGAACUUUAGGUCAGCAUAGCAGAAGGAUGUGCGUGUGUGCCUGUCCCCACAUUUCCUUCCUGCCCAGGACACGUGGAUUUUAAGGACAGCCUGAAUUGAGCUUGUAAGUGAAAAUUAGACUGUGCCAUGGGGGUGCAGGGUCUCUUAUUUCUUCCCUGCUUCUGGUCCCAGGGAGGUUCCCCAAAAAGGUCAGCCCCACAAGUGGACAUCAGAAGCCCCUGUCUUUGCAGGGGGCAAUUAUCUUGGAGGAACCUCCCUGACGGGACAGCCCAAGUACAGUGGCUUGGAAAGGACCGUGACUUUAACAUUACUGGGACCCAGGGCGGCCGGGCCGUCCAGAAAGGCUGGGGUUACCGAGGGGGGAAGAAAACUGUGCAUCGCGAGCUUGUGUGCACGCCUGGGGCAGCCUUCGAUUGUGCCUGCCCGCCAUAGGAGGAGUGCAGGGGCCACUGCGGGCCGAUUCUGUGACCUCACCCAGCCCGGCUCUCUGCUCUGUGUCCCAGAGGUGGGAGGGAAGCUGGAUUUGAAAGCCCAGUUCUAAGCCACUGGUGUCCCGGAAAGUCUUCACUCUGAGGGUCACUGCCUGGCCGGAGCUCGGGGAACCAUGGGCUAAUGCAGCACAUAACACUGAGCAACUGCUAGGCCCUGCUCACCUCAACUUUGGGACCAAAACCUCUAGAGGGGCUGCCUUCCCCACUAGCAGCUGCCUCUACAGAGCUCAGCCUGGGAGAUGGGUUUCCAGCAAAGCAGAGUAAGGAAGAAGCGACGUCGCCCUGCCAGAGCUACCGCCCCAGAGCCCCGGUUGAGGGAGCCCCUGCAAGGGUGGAGAGGACCAAAGGGAAGGUGUGGCCCAGUGCCCUCCUGCUAGCCCUGCCUCGAGCCUCCUCCAGGCACAUUUCGAGGUCAUGGCCAACAUCACGAGGCAGGAGGACAUGGGUGAGGAUUCUGGGAGAACAGAAAACACAAAACUUUAAGACAAUUCAACAUAAUACAUGAACAUCAUCGAGAAAGGGCUCAUCUACAGCCACGUCUUGGACCAGAACAUGAGCGACAAAUCAGUGCUCUUCCCAGAGGGACAACAAACGCAUUCUAGACACAGCCUAAGAAUCCAUCGACUUAGGAGAAUGCAAAGCCAAUCACUUGAAGCAUCUGACGCUGAACACAGGUAAAAAGUUUUAUAUAAAAUAUUUUAUUAGAGUCUUUAUUCUUUAUAAGUAUCUAACUUUAUAUUUAUACGCUCUGCGCCUCCCCCGCCUGGCCAGUUGGGUUGUUUUGUCUAACGUUCAUUGCGUUCUAAUUCGGCUGGCAUUUGACUAAGGCCUUAAUGGGUUUUGACUAUACUCUUCCCAUCUGCACCACAGACCUGGAAUGAGAGAGGUUUUUCUUUUCUUCUUGCAGUAAAGGCUGAUUGAGGAUUCAGAAGCUGGUAUUCUAUGGAGAUGAGGGAAAUAUCAUAGAAUAAUACUAUCAAACACACGCCUGGAGCCAAGUCUGCACACCUGCAUGUAUGUGUGUGCAUGUAUGUGUGUCCAUGUGCAUGUGUGUGCAUGUAUGUGUGUGUAUGUGUGUGUAUGUGUGUGUCCAUGUGAGUGUGUGUGCAUGUGUGUGUGUGCGUGUGCUUGCAUGCAUGUGUGUGCAUGUGUGCACAUGUGCUUGUGUGUAGGUAGACACAUAUACACCAUACACGCACACACACACACCAGCCCCUGUAGAGCCUGAGCUAGUCCACAGGACUGUUGCAAUAGGAGGAGCAGGCAAGGGCAGAGGACAGCCCCUCUCCACGGAGAGGUACCUGUCACGAGUACUCUGAUGCAAGGCCACUGAAGGGCGUUAGGCUUGGGUUGCCCUCUCAUCUCAGCCACCUGUUUGGUAACAGAAGGAAUCACUGAACGAACAGCCACUAAGCUAGUAUUGCACUUUAUGCCUUACAAAGCAUCUCAGAUACAUUCAUACGCCAUGAACAGGAGGCAGUAAACAAAACAGGGACUUCAGCGUCCAACUGGGCUGGAAUCCCAACUCCGCUCCUUCCUCGUUCUGGGGCCCUGGGGACGUCACGGAGCCUCUCCCUGCCUCCGCGUUCCACGUCUGCACCAUGAGCACGGCUAAGCCAAGUGGCCACGCGGUUCCCUCCCACCACACUGGAGGGCAAGCCCACUGCCUGGAAACAGCCACGAGGAAAGGUGCUCGGUGCACCAGAGUCGUGCCUUCUCUUCCCACUGCAACAACCAAGCCCGGUUUCUGCCCCAUGGGUGUGGUCUGUCCCUGAUGUCAGGCUGGGGGAAUGACUUUUUGUGGGUUUCUAAGAUGAGUUUUCACCUCAAAGCUCCAUGUACCAUUUCCUGUUCCUGGCAGACACACCCCUAUUAGGGCCAUGAAGCCACAACACUAAUCCACAAUGGGGAAGGCUCACCUGGAGGGAAUGGGCGUUUUCAACACUGACCUCACUCGAUGUAGUUCUGAGUCAUGAGCAAGGACUUUUGCCUUUUUCCAAUUCUGCAUUUCACCAGGCUAUUCCUAGGUAGGUCUUCCCUAUGUGCAAUGUCUUACAAGAAGAUCUAUUUUGAAAUUAAAUGAGGACUUUUUAUAAAGGCUAAGUUUGACUCUGGUUAAAAACUUAAUCUGGAAGGCAAUGCCAUAUUUGUAUAGAACAAGCACACUUAAAAUUACACUUUAAUAUCUAUCUCAAUUGUGUUUACUAAAAAAGAUCUAGCAGUAAAAAAGGAAUCUCUAAGAAUUAGCAAACUAAAUCCAUGUGUAAAUAAAAUUCAGACCCUUUUCGUUCUUUCGAAGUGGGAAAUAAGAGCUUCAGGGACAUCGCCAAGGAAUCCCACCACCUUUGAGCUGGCAUGGCCUUGGGCAUGAUGUACUGUAACUAUUUACAGAUGAGGAAAAAUGUAGCUUAGAAAGGUUCACUGAUUUUCCCGCAAAAACACAGCCUUUCCAUCGGAAGCCCUGAUUCUAGGAGAAUGAUAUUCUAGAGGGAGUAAACAAUGGCAUUUUCCUAAAGGUGGACUUCUUUGGCCAGAAUCACCUUCUCUGCAUGUAGUCAAACUGCUUCUGAGAGCUGACAAACUCACAGGCAGCCUUGUUGUGAAUUCAAAGACCACUUGACCUCCAGAUAGGCACCUGUUUCUGCCCUAGCGGGAUUUGACUUAUGUGAUUCAGUCAUAGGAAAGAAGCGGUUUCCAACGUGCAAAGUUUACACAGGCCUAACACUGAGGCGGUGAUGCAGCUGUGAGGUCGCAAAACCCAGAGAUGAAAUCUCCCACCACUCGAAGUGCGUUGUUUGAUCAAGUUUCAAAUGCCUCCACAUGCUGAAGUCUACUGACUUCGUCCUAAGCCCUUGGAUUCUGAUGCCAUCUCGUUGGCCUCCUCCCCUCUUGCACAGUUAGCCCAUCUUUCACUGCUGGCCACUCCUGCUGAGCCAACCCUCAAAGGUCGUGCCUGAAUUUCCCUAAGCCCCAUUCUUCCAGGUUCAGUGGAGGCAGCUGAGGUGAUACAGGAGGAAAGGGAAGCUGUUUGUUUGUUUGUUUAAAUCAACCUAGGCAAAAUUAAAGGUAGUCAGAAAGUUAGGAAGAAACAAACAAUAUAUUUCGCUUAAAAUAAGAAGCACGUGGAAAAAGAAAGACUUUGAAAGAGUUGGCCAAUGUCUUCUCACAAUUUUUUGUAUAGCUUUUAAAAAUGUCUGCAUGGCUCAGUGGAGAUGGUGUCCACGUC
rnacentral:lncRNA from 10 species